rnacentral:rRNA from 1 species
CAGUAACGGCGAGUGAAGCGGUAACAGCUCAAAUUUGAAAUCUGGCCUCACGGUCCGAGUUGUAAUUUGUAGAGGAUGCUUCGAGCAUGGUCUGGCCUAAGUUCCUUGGAACAGGACGUCAUAGAGGGUGAGAAUCCCGUAUGCGGCCAGGUGCCUACGCUCAUGUGAAGCUCCUUCGACGAGUCGAGUUGUUUGGGAAUGCAGCUCAAAAUGGGUGGUAAAUUUCAUCUAAAGCUAAAUAUUGGCCAGAGACCGAUAGCGCACAAGUAGAGUGAUCGAAAGAUGAAAAGCACUUUGGAAAGAGAGUUAAACAGUACGUGAAAUUGUUGAAAGGGAAGCGCUUGCAACCAGACUUGCGCGCGGCCGAUCAUCCGGUGUUCUCACCGGUGCACUCGGCCGUGCUCAGGCCAGCAUCGGUUUUGGCGGCUGGAUAAAGGCCCUAGGAAUGUGGCUCCUCUCGGGGAGUGUUAUAGCCUAGGGUGCAAUGCAGCCUGCUGGGACCGAGGACCGCGCUUCGGCUAGGAUGCUGGCGUAAUGGUUGUAAGCGGCCCGUCUUGAAACACGGACCAAGGAGUCUAACAUCUAUGCGAGUGUUUGGGUGUCAAACCCAUACGCGUAAUGAAAGUGAACGGAGGUGAGAACCCUUAAGGGUGCAUCAUCGACCGAUCCUGAUGUCUUCGGAAGGAUUUGAGUAAGAGCAUAGCUGUUGGGACCC